AAUAACUCUACCUUAUCAAAUCAUACCUAUAUAAUGUCUGCAAGGGGUUGACAUCGUUCUAGUUUCCUGAAGACAUUCUCUGAACAUAUUUAAUGUUGGGUGUUAUUCUUCUGACGCUCGUGGCCAGUGCGCUAGGCGCUCCUACCACCCCAGCCGGAGGUUCGACAACUCGGGAUCUGAUUGCUGCUGGCACUUCUUCCUUCAACGCUCUUGACAAGAACAAAAACGGCCAUGUGGAAGUUUCAGAGUUUUUAAUUUCAUUUGACAAGUCUGACACAAACCAUGACAAUGAGAUGUCAAUCCAAGAGUACGUUCAGUACAGACAUGCCACCAAGACCUUUACUCAGGCACUCUACAAAUUCCUUGACACGGACCAUGACGGCAGCGUAAGCCGAGCAGAGAUGAUCAGACUCUUCAGGCUCUACGACGGCAACAACGACGGUGUUAUUACUCUUCCAGAAUUUAUUAGCCGAUAUUUGAAGAUGGUGGAUAUAGUUGCAAAAAACCUGUCUCAAUGACAAGCUAUUCCCGCAUCAACAGCCUCCACCUGAAUCUUGCUGUGAACAAAUGGGCUCCUACUUCAGGAUAAACCAACACCCUGUGCGGAAUAAAGGUGAAUUCCAUAAGGGGAAUAAUCAUUGCUCCCAGUGUGGACACCCCCUCUUCCUGUAUAACCACUGUCCCCUGUGUGAAGGUGUCUCUACCCUGGUAAAAUCACUCUGCCCAUGUCGACGCCGCUCUCUUCCGGUAUAUCCACUGCCCCCAUGUGUAGACGCGACCCUCUUCCAGUAUAACCAUUGUCCCACGUGUGAACGUGUUCCUCUCCUGGUUAAACUACUGUCACAAGUGUGGACGCCCCCUCUUCCGGUAUAACCACUGUGCCACUGUGACCUCACAUUGCUACAUUGUGGAAAAUUAUCCGUCAAUAAUCGAUCAUAAUGUCACAAAUGGAUUAUUUGGUCAUGUGAACAAGGGAAGUGUCUCUGGUCUUCGCGACCCGUGAAGAUCCGGGGUAGAAUAAGUCUUCAGCAACCCACGCUUGCCGUAAAAGGUGACUCUGCUUGUCGUAAGAGGCGACCAACGGGAUCGGGUGGUCAGGGUCGCUGACUUGGUUGAUGCAUUAGCUAUAGUCUCUGGCCAUCACACUUUAACGCCACAAAACCUUAUCUGAAAGAAUACAUUUUAAUUACUCGGUAAAAACAGUUCACCAUGACACAGCUGAAAUUUUGCUGUCUGAAAAACUUGUUUUCAUGACCAAAUGUCAAUUUCGUUCAAUUUUUAUAACCUCUGUUCCGAAAAUAACUCUACCUUAUCAAAUCAUACCUAUAUAAUGUCUGCAAGGGGUUGACAUCGUUCUAGUUUCCUGAAGACAUUCUCUGAACAUAUAUAAUGUUGGGUGUUAUUCUUCUGAUGCUCGUGGCCAGUGCGCUAGGCGCUCCUACCACCCCAGCCGGAGGUUCGACAACUCGGGAUCUGAUUGCUGCUGGCACUUCUUCCUUCAACGUUCUUGACAAGAACAAAAACGGCCAUGUGGAAGUUUCAGAGUUUUUAAUUUCAUUUGACGAGUCUGACACUAACCAUGACAAUGAGAUGUCAAUCCAAGAGUACGUUCAGUUCAGACAUGCCACCAAGACCUUUACUCAGGCACUCUACAAAUUCCUUGACACGGACCAUGACGGCAGCGCAAGCCGAGCAGAGAUGAUCAGACUCUACAGGCUCUACGACGGCAACAAGGACGGUAUUGUUACUCUUCCAGAAUUUAUUAGGGGAUAUUUGAAGAUUAUGGAUAUAGUCGCAAAAAACCUGUCUCAAUGACAAGCUAUCCCCGCAUCAACAGCAUCAACCUAAAUCUUGCUGUGGACAAAUGGGCUCACGCUUCAGGAUAAACAAACAUCCUGUGCGUAAUAAAGGCUUCUACUGGUU